AAAAUAAAAUUUGAUUUUAAAAAAAUUUAAUUUUUAAACUAGGAUUAGAUACCCUAUUAUUUUAAGCUUAAUGUUGGUAGUAAGUAAAAAUUAUGAAAUCAUAAAAUUUUGGCGGUAUUUUAAGCUUGUUAGAGGAAUUUGCUCUAUAAUGGAUACAACGCCUAUAUCUUACUUAAUUUUGUAAUUAAAGUCAGUUUGUAUACCACUAUAUUUAAUUAUAUUGAAUAAUUAUAUUUAAGAUUUUUAUAUAAAUAUAUAUUAAGUCAAGGUGCAACAAAUAAUUA
rnacentral:rRNA from 1 species